CCUGUCCCAGCUCUACACAGUUAUACCUGCCACAACAUGUGUGACUUUCGUAAAGAGGAGAGAAAGGAUGCCCUCAGGACCUCGGGCAGGCCUCCUGUGGUAUGUCCCUUCCGGGGGUGGGGGGUGGG
ensembl:snoRNA